CUGCCAUUAGUGGCUAGCUCUGAAGAAGACAGCAGGAGUGGUCAAAACUGUCAGCAAAAAAGAAGGUUAAACAACCUUUUUCUGUGUUUAAAACAACCAAAUUAAGCAAUCAGAAGAAACACAGAAUGAACGCACUAAACUUAUGACCUGUUGAGAUUAGGAUGUGUUUGGCUUUCCAUACUUCCUCAUCUCACUGCUUUGCUGCGAUCAUCAGACCGUGAAAACUUUCCACAGUGUUGCUUUGAACAAAAGAAGCAGAUCUUCCAGUUCCUGCAUGUCAUCUGACCAAAACCAGUCAUGCUUUACUUUAGUGGAGAGUGCUUCAGAUCAGUGGUUUCAAACGUAGGGGUUGGGGACCCCCAAUGGGACAUGAAACUCUACGUUUGAGGUCUUCAGAGGAUAUCUAAUACAAUGUUUUUACUAUAAAUGAUGAAAGGUAGAUGGAAUCAUGAAUAAAUAGUUGUACAAUAAGAGCUGAAGCUUUUUGUGUUUUCUUUAUGCCUUUAUGCUAAUCAACCAGCAACAUUUAGGGUCAUGAGUCUUUGUAGAUUUUUCUUUCUAAACCAAAAACAUCUGGGAACCUUUGCUUAAGAUAUUCUUUUCUCACCUUUUUCUUUUUAGUAAGUUAGCAAAAACAAAAUGAUUGGUUCCAAGAUGCUUCAGUGAGUCUUUUUAGAACAAUUUUUCUUUUGCGUCCAGCUUGAUCUGAUGAAUCCUACAUUUAAGUUCCUUAUGUUGAGAUCAAACCUAGAAACCGAUGGAGAUCAGACACGGAGACUAACUGAAGUUACAUUUCCAGUUAUUUAUGCAUAUUAGCAUGGCUUUCUUUAUUUAUCACGUCUUUAUUCAGUGUUGCUAAACUGUCCAAACAGAGCUGACAGUUGUCUGACGGUAAUGAACUGCUCCGAGUGGCUAGAAGUAAAAAAAAAAAGAAGCAAAAAGCAAGUUACAAAGUUGUAGAAAAAGCUCCGUCUCAGCGUUAUUUACUCCGAAGUUAAGCAACCCCCAUCGCUCAGGGGAUGAAAACCUGCAGCAAAUAGCCGCUGAUGAUGGUCUCGUUCAGAAAGCAACCAGCUGUGUUUCAGCGCUUCUGUCAGCCGACAUCAGCCGACAUCAGUCCGCAUGGUAAUGAAACACUGAUGGGAUCACACUUGCCUGCCGAAGAGAACAGUCUGCUCCUGGACAUGAUGACACUUGCUGCACAUGUGAUGUGCAACCCAAGAAACAUGGAAUUCAUGUGUGGCUCCAUCAGCAGUCUUCAGGCUGACAGGAGGCCUCCAGAGUGCGUUUUGUCCGCUCGACGCCACCUCCUCUGCUGACAGCCUUCAGUUGCCUGGAGACAUCGCUCCAGACACAAGCUGUGGUAAAUGAGCAGGUUGUUGAUCAAAGCCCAUGACGGCUUCACUGCUGCGCUCUAAACAACGCACUCUCACUUCCAGUUCUGUGCUAACAACAACUUGUAGGCUUCUCCAUACACUGCACCCUGACAUUAGCCUCCUGUCAGAAAACAAUCACAUUUGCUGUGUAUUCUGCCAAGAUGUGUCUGCUUGAUUGGGAUGGGUGGUUUCCUGAAAUUAGCAAUGCAAAACAGUGCAAAUCUGAAUUUUAAAACAGAGUUCUGCGAUGAUGAAGCCGUCUGAUGGGCUUUACAUGUUUGGUGGAAACAUACGUCUGCCAUUACAGGCUUUGUGGUGUUGAUUGUGGAGCAUAAUUUUCUCCCUGAAGGUUGAAACGGUGCACUGAUGGCGUGAUCUCAAAUGGACGCUGUUUGGAUUGGAAGAUGUCAUUUAACUACCCAAAAAAUAAAUAAAAACUCAGAUACAUACAACUGUCUGUAGACCUGUACUAUUUUAGUAAAAUGAUUAGGAUAAGGCUAACCUCACAAUAACGCAGGCAGCGCCUUUUUCAAACACUUGAUGCUGCAUUGCACAUUUUACUGGAGGAUUCCGCUAGGGGGCGCUGUAGAGGACUCAGAUCGGAUAGUGUGGUGGAUUUGUAUGGUACAAACAAAACAAACAUGGCGACAAGAGAAGAGUUAAGCAGCUGGUUAAUUUUGAGAUGGCGACAGAGAAAAAGUCAACAGCAGUAUCAUAGAUAGUUAGGGUUAGACCUCUAAACCAGAUAUGCCUUGCUCUGUUUGCCAAUGAGACACACUUCUACUGGCUACUCUCUUAUUGCAGCUUGUGGACAUGUGUAAAUUUCAGAGAACACACACAAACAAUGCUUCAAACAAAUGCUAAUUGCACGAGGCAGCCAUGAUUAACACGUGUACAAGUAUUUAAAAGCAGGUUUGUUCCCAGCUUUAGUAUAAUCAUCAAGAUUUAUUUAGACUGGGCUGUUUUGAAAGAGCACGUGAUGAUGCGCAUGUUUGCAUGAAUAUCCAUUGUGAAGGGUCUUCUUGGAAGAGCUGUGCUUUUCUCAUCUGGGUUUUCAGGACUUUGACAUUGUCGUGCCACAGAGCAGCAGCCUAAAAAGCCCAAUUAAAGGCCUUCAAAAUCCGGUGGAGCUUCUUGAAUCCACCUAUAUCAAAUAAAACAGUCUAGUCACCCAUCUCCUUGGUCCACACUGCAGGAAAAUCAUGUUGAUUUUUGUCCCAAUUCUCACUGUCCCAACAGCACACCGCAAUAAAGAUGAUCUUAGACAUUCCUGCCAUAUGUGGUGUGUUAAGAUCAUUCUGGUCUGCUCUGAAGCACAUUGAGACCACUCCAAUCAUAAAGCAGGGCUUUACAACAUGCUUGACUGUCUUGGUCCAAGUUUUGAGAGCAAAUAAGCAUGCUGUGUGUUCAAUGGGACAUGUAGCCUUGUUUGUGUCCUGGUGUCAUCUCAAGUAGCAUUUGAUUUCUCAAGAUUUCCCGUCUAAUCGGAGGAAUGUUCGUAGCUGAAGUUGUUUCAUGCGUAUAGUUUUUGCUGUGUUGCCACACUGCACCCACUGUAGGACCAAAACUAGUACAUCCGUGAUUUAGAUUUUUUAUGUGUAGGGUCUCAUGGUUUGAAAAUCGUCAGACAUUUUUAAAAAACAGCCAUGUGAACGGAACAUCACAGCUUGCGCCCUUCACCUCCUAUGUGUCCUAUUUGCUGUACGUCCAGUGCCACAGAUGGAGGCUGAAUGCAGCUCACGUUAGCAGCUUUCUUAUUAACACUAAUAUCCAGUUGUAGCAUCAAGGUUCAGCCAACAGCAGAAACAUGCUGCAGACUCCACCUGAUUGUUUACAUGACAGAAACAACUUCGUGAAGCAUUCCAAAAGGAGCAAUUCACCUGACACAUCUGCAGGUAAAACAUCUUCCACUGGAUGCUGACAAAGAAAUCGGAUUCUUUGUGCCAUGCACGGUUAUCUCUGAGGAAAAGCUCCAACUGCACCGUGUUAUGUCGGUGUUUGAAUGCAGAGCAGACAUGUUGGUUGUGUUUUAGAGCCACAACUACAGUGAAUUGUUAUUUUUAACAUUGAAUUAUUGGUAAAAAAUAAACAUUUUAGCAAACAGUUUUUACUGACUGUUAUAAAUCUGCAACAUGGUUUCUUUGAAGCUUAUAAAACAGAUUUUGUCAUGUUAGAAAAUCUGUUUAAAACAGAAUGAAAGAGUUUGCCCCUUUAUUCCCCUUUCAUGCUUCGUAUUGAAAUCAUUUUUAGAUGUUUGAAGCUCCUUGGGGAAGGUUCAGGGAACUUCAUGACUUUCCUUUAAGUAGAUUCUCCAAGUUUCUAAUCUUCUUUUCUGGCUCACCGGGUUACGAGUUUCAUCUCGUUUUGGAACAAGUAUAAAACCCUCCCAGUAAAAAAAAAAAACAGCUCGUCUUAAAAUAAGAUUUGCAAAACAUCUUAUAGAAAUAAAGGGAUGCCCAGCUUCUUUUCUCCAUCACUGGAGCAGGUUGAAAUAUGAGGGAGGGAGGCGGCAGAUUUCCAUUUUCCUACAUGCCCGGGGUUAUGACCCUUGUCAUUUUUACUGCACUGAUUUAUUUAAAUGAUGCAUCCAGUUUAAGGGUUGCAGAUCAAAUCUCUCAUUGUGCAGGCUGAAUGUCCUCUCUCUUCACCGCUGCCAGGCUGAACAGUAUCAGCCUGUUUUUUUGUUUGUCCCUCUUUUCUUUUAAAGUAACACUAAAUUGUUUUGUAAACUAGAGUUUGAACAUUGAUCUCAGUGAUUGUUGGGUUAGAAACUUGACCAGUUUAACAGUUGACACCACUCUGCAGCCCUCUGCUGGCCAGAUACUGCACUUAACAGUUCGGUGGAGCGGGUAGGUGUUCUAGGGGGCGCUCUUAUACCUGCAUUACGGCGGUUAGCUCUUUUCUGUGCAGCUAGCUUUUUCACUUUGCCAUUAGUCAGAAAAAAAAGUAAAAGAAAAAGAAAACAUUUGCUUUUUUGUUGGCAUCGCGGCGGAGCCUUGAAGUAAAAGUAAGAGAGCGAUGUCUUUGAAGGUGAAGCAAAAAGCUAAAACCAGAGUAAACAUUUGCGUUGCCUAAACUAGUUUGAGGAAGCUGAAAAAGGCUAUGAAAUCAUGGGCUGAUGGUGACCUGGGUUUGUUGCUACAAGACUUGUAAGUAAUAAUAUUUUCUGUCCAACAGUGUGGCUCUUUUCAAUUUGUGGCUUAUUUAGUAAGACUUGGCUCAAGCUAGGGUCAACUUGUUGCUAGCACUAGCUACAGCAGGCUGCUGCAGGGUUGCUUACGGUAGUUGCAUUUCUACUUUCAACCAGUAGGGCAGAGGAGCAUGAAACUGCUCGGUGGUACUUUAAUUAUAACGUUUCAGAUUAUUCUUUAACUCAUUUUGUUUCUAUAUACAUCUAUUAAAUAGCAUAUUACAUGAAAUGAGUCACAAAUAAAUAUAAUUAUUUUUAUUUGACACCAGAACUUAUUUAGUCCAUAUUUAUAUUCAUCUUUUCUAGACACGUUUAAUGCACCAGAUAAUAAUUGUUCUGUUCAAUUUGUUUAGCUGAUAAAUAAACGAUGCAGAAAAAAGUAAUAAGUAACAUUAACUUCAUUACAUUUACUUCUUUACUUAAAUGAAUUUUUCUUCUGUUCAGGCAUUAAACGAGGCAGCAUCACAUCCUCCAGCACAGACACAAAAGCAUCCUCCAAUCUCCUGACAUCCUUCAGCUCUCCGUGUGAAGUCUGCAGUGAGAGCAGAACUUGACUCCUCGGUUACGAGUGACGCUGUUGAUGGAAGAUCUCAACACAUCGAACCAGAUACUCCACAAGCAAGAAGCUGUCCAAACUACCUGGUUACACGGGGACAGGUGACAGCCGGCGGCAGCUUUGGGAUGUGCUGCUGGAUCCAGAUUCAAGGGAACAUCUGGUGGUUUGUACACUGGGAGCUUUCGCGUCUCAGUUUUAUCUGCUUUCUGACACUUAAACUCACUCAAAUCAUUUCUCAAGGGAGAGCUGGAGGGCAGAAAAAUAUAUUUAUUAGUCGGUUCAAAUGGGUCAAAGAAAAUCCUCCGUUUAGAGACUAAAAUGUCACUGAAAAUCAAACUGAAGGACCCCCUAAAGAUCAGCGCUAGACUGAAAGUGUGUCUCUGUUUAAAAGCUCCUGUAACCAACUGUUACCCAGCCUGUUCCACACUUACUUCCUCUAAAAAUAACAACAAAGUGAGAAAUGGUUUCAGGCUUACAAACAGCUUUUGACUGUGAGACUGUCAUUCAGACCGCACCUUUACAACCAAUUAGUUCUCUUUGUGUUAGAACAUGUCAUGGUAAAAGCUAACGAGGUUAGAAUUUACUGGAAAAGGAAAAGCAAACAAACAUCUGUAAUGAAUACAGAUGUGAAUGUGCCGGUGCCAAGGAGCAUUAGUGCCACAUCGGAGAAAAAACAAACAACCCGCCAAGAAUAUAGAAUCAAAUUUAAAGGAAAAUGUGAAGAAAUGUGUCAAAAAUAGUAUUUACAGAAAAAACAGAAAUAAUUAGAAAUAAAUAUAUAAUAUAAUACUU